rnacentral:rRNA from 1 species
GCGAACGCUGGCGGCAGGCUUAACACAUGCAAGUCGAACGCAUCCUUCGGGGUGAGUGGCAGACGGGUGAGUAACACGUGGGAACGUACCCUUCGAUCUGGGAUAACUUCGGGAAACUGGAGCUAAUACCGGAUACGCCCUUUUGGGGAAAGGUUUACUGUCGAAGGAUCGGCCCGCGUCUGAUUAGCUAGUUGGUGGGGUAACGGCCUACCAAGGCGACGAUCAGUAGCUG